CCUACGGGGUGCAGCAGUGAGGAAUAUUGGUCAAUGGACGCAAGUCUGAACCAGCCAUGCCGCGUGCAGGAAGACGGCUCUAUGAGUUGUAAACUGCUUUUGUACGAGGGUAAACGCAGAUACGCGUAUCUGUCUGCAAGUAUCGUACGAAUAAGGAUCGGCUAACUCGGUGCCAGCAGCCGCGGUAAUCCGGAGGAUUCAAGCGUUAUCCGGAUUUAUUGGGUUUAAAGGGUGCGUAGGCGGUCGGAUAAGUUAGAGGUGAAAUCCCGAGGCUCAACUUCGGAAUUGCCUCUGAUACUGUUCGGCUAGAGAGUAGUUGCGGUAGGCGGAAUGUAUGGUGUAGCGGUGAAAUGCUUAGAGAUCAUACAGAACACCGAUUGCGAAGGCAGCUUACCAAGCUACUUCUGACGUUGAGGCACGAAAGCGUGGGGAGCAAACAGGAUUAGAUACCCCAGUAGUC
rnacentral:rRNA from 1 species